ACUGAUCCGUAGCGUUUCGUUGAUUGGGUUCCACUGUAUUCGUCUGUGUCUGCAACUAGAGGCGUAACUUUUGGUUCCACCACAAUCGUCGCAAUUCGCCAUUAGAGAGACUGAGGUGCAGUCGGUGUGACGAUUCCAUUCGUUGGUUUUGAUCAGGUCCUUUCGCCUUCUUUCGAUCAAUCGAAAUGAGGUUAGCUUAGCUCCUCUUCAAACCAUCUUUGUCGACUUUCAUGGCCAAAUAAGAGGAGAUCGAGAAGAACAAGUGGGAGGUUUGCAAAAGGAUUUAAGCUCAGCUUUGUUGUGUCGAAGAAGAGACCGGGCGAUUGGAUCUUCAGACUAUGUUUCUUUGUUGAGAGAAGAAGUCGAAAAAGAUUUAACAGCUUCCGUUGGGAAAAAACACCUCCUGGAAAACAAGAAAAGACCAAAAACUGUUCAGAAGCAAAUAAUAGGACAUAACACAGGCUCUUAUGACCCCCCUGACGCUGAGGAAACAUGAUCAAAGGGACCAGGGUGAUGAUGAUGAUGGUGAUGACAACAAGCCAGCUGUCAAGCCAGUUCAUGUUAUGUCUGAAUCUGCAGGGGGCAGUGGUAAUACGCAGAAGCAGGCGGCCAACUCAGAUUUGAAGAUGGUUAAAAAGGCGCGUGUUGCUUGACAUGAAGUUUCAUCUAUACAUCUUAAUAAUGCUUUUGCAUCUUUAUUGCCUUUCACGUAUUUUUUUUAGACUGAAAACCUCUUUUUCUUUCUAUGUUUUGACUUUCUCCAAUAUUAUGAGCACUCUAUACGUUUGUUCCAGGCAGUUUUCGUAAUAUGAGUUUAUUUUUCCUUA